GUCCAGGGAUGGGAAACGAACCCACAAUGUUCCGCUUACCGGGCAGAUGCCAUGUCCACUAAGCUACCCUGGU
rnacentral:tRNA from 1 species